rnacentral:rRNA from 1 species
UACGUAGGGGGCACGCGUUGUUCGGAAUUACUGGGCGUAAAGGGCGCGUAGGCGGCAUGGCAAGUCGGGAGUGAAAGCCCGGGGCUCAACCCCGGAACGGCUUUCGAAACUGCCAAGCUAGAGUACGGAAGGGGCAACUGGAAUUCCCAGUGUAGCGGUGAAAUGCUUAGAUAUUGGGAAGAACACCGGAGGCGAAGGCGGGUUGCUGGGCCGAUACUGACGCUGAGGCGCGAAAGCCAGGGGAGCAAACGGG